rnacentral:piRNA from 1 species
UAAAUGUGGGACUUCUCAGAAGUCAUU